UAGGCUCUGUGCUGAGCCCGCCUACC
rnacentral:piRNA from 1 species